AUUGAACGCUGGCGGCAUGCUUUACACAUGCAAGUCGAACGGCAGCGCGGGCUUCGGCCUGGCGGCGAGUGGCGCACGGGUGAGUAAUACAUCGGAACGUGCCCCGUAGUGGGGGAUAGCUCGGCGAAAGCCGGGUUAAUACCGCAUACGACCUGAGGGUGAAAGAGGGGGAUCUUCGGACCUCUCGCUAUUGGAGCGGCCGAUGGCAGAUUAGCUAGUUGGUGGGGUAAAGGCCUACCAAGGCGACGAUCUGUAGCUGGUCUGGGAGGACGACCAGCCACACUGGGACUGAGACACGGCCCAGACUCCUACGGGAGGCAGCAGUGGGGAAUUUUGGACAAUGGGCGAAAGCCUGAUCCAGCAAGGCCGCGUGUGGGAUGAAGGCCUUCGGGUUGUAAAGCACUUUUGGCGGGAACGAAAAGGAUUGGGCCAAGACCACGGUUCGAUGACGGUACCCGCAGAAUAAGCACCGGCUAACUACGUG
rnacentral:rRNA from 1 species